rnacentral:rRNA from 1 species
AAUUUUAAAAUUACUUUUUUUGUUUUGUUUUUAUAUUUAAUAAAAAUAAUUUUAUUUAAUAAUUGUUUUAGUAUUUUAUAUUAAAAAAAUAUUUUUUGUUAUAGUUUAUUUGUAUUGUAAAAGAAUUUUGAAAUAUAUAAUUAUUAUUAAAUAGUAAAAUUUGUUUUUUGUACCUUGUGUAUCAGGGUUUAUUAAAUAAAAGUUAAUUAUUUAAUUUUCCCGAGUUUAAGAGAGUUAAUAAAUUAUUUAUUUUAUUGUAAAAAAAAUAUUUAUAAUAAUUUAUUAGUAAUGAAAUGUUAUUCGUUCUUAAAUAUAUCUGGUUUAUUUAGAAAUGAAUUUAAUUCAGAUAUUUAAAUUUUAAUAAUAUAAUUUUUUAUUUUAUUAAAUUUUUAUAUUAAUAAUUAAAGGGAUUAGCUUUUAAUUAAAUUCCUAAAAAUUGUAAUUAUUUUUAAAAAUUGUAAGUUUAGAAAUAUCUAUCAAUAAUAAUUUGUUAUAAUUAAUUUAAUUUAAUAUAUUAUUUAAUAAUUAUUUUAGGUUUUUUAUAAAUAAUUUUUUUUUAAUUUAAUAAAUUUAGUUAUAAUGAUAAAAUUAGUAUAUAAUUUAUUUAUUUGAAAUAAUUUUUUUAAUAGAUUAUUUAAAGGAAUUCGGCAAAAAUUUUAUUCGCCUGUUUAACAAAAACAUGUCCUUUUGAUUUUUAUUUAAGGUUUGACCUGCCCACUGAAAAUUUUUAAAUGGCCGCAGUAAUUUGACUGUGCAAAGGUAGCAUAAUCAUUAGUUUUUUAAUUAAAAGCUUGUAUGAAAGGUUGGACGAAAUAAAAUCUGUCUUUAUUUAAAUUAUAAUAUAAUUUAACUUUUAAGUUAAAAGGCUUAAAUUUUAUUAAAAGACGAGAAGACCCUAUAGAUCUUUAUAAAUUUUUUUAUAAUUUUAAUUAUGAUUUUUUUAUUUUUUAUAUAAAAAUUUAUUUUAUUGGGGUAAUGGAAAGAUUUAUUUAAUUCUUUUUUAUUAUUUACAUUGAUUUAUGAUUUUAAUGAUCCAUUUUUAUUGAUUAUAAGAUUAAGUUACCUUAGGGAUAACAGCGUAAUUUUUUUAGAGAGUUCAUAUCGAUAAAAAAGUUUGCGACCUCGAUGUUGGAUUAAAAAUUAUCUUAGGUGCAGAAUUUUAAGAUUUUGGUCUGUUCGACCAUUAAAUUUUUACAUGAUCUGAGUUCAGACCGGUGUAAGCCAGGUCGGUUUCUAUCUUUAAUUAUUUAAAAUAUUUUAGUACGAAAGGACCAAGUAUUUAAUAUAUUAAUAUUUAAUUUUUGAAUAUUAUUAUUA